rnacentral:rRNA from 1 species
CACGUAGGGAGCAAGCGUUGUCCGGAUUUAUUGGGCGUAAAGAGCUCGUAGGUGGUUCGGUAAGUCAGGUGUGAAACCUCCAGGCUCAACCUGGAGACGCCACUUGAUACUGCUGUGACUGGAGUCCGGUAGGGGAGCGUGGAAUUCCUGGUGUAGCGGUGAAAUGCGUAGAUAUCAGGAGGAACACCUGUGGUGUAGACGGCUUACUGGACUAUAACUGACGCUGAGGAACGAAAGCGUGGGUAGCAAACAGG